rnacentral:tRNA from 1 species
AUUCAAAUAGCUUAUAUAAAGAGUGUAGCACUGAAGAUGCUGAGGAGAUAUUUUUAUCUUUGAAUG